GACGAAGGAUGCAAGCGUUAUCCGGAUUCAUUGGGUUUAAAGGGAGCGUAGGCGGCCUUAUAAGUCAGUGGUGAAAUCUUUGGGCUUAACCCAAAAAUUGCCAUUGAUACUGUAGGGCUUGAGUACAGUUGCUGUGGGCGGAAUAUGACAUGUAGUGGUGAAAAUACAUAGAGAUGUCAUAGAACACCGAUUGCGAAGGCAGCUCACAAAAACUGUAACUGACGCUGAGGCUCGAAAGUGCGGGGAUCAAACAGG
rnacentral:rRNA from 1 species